UCCCCUGUCUGCACUCCGCUGGGAGACUCCAGGGAGGCCUUACAACCAUCUCUUCCCAUUGCUGGUGGCUUUGAGAAUCUUUACCUUAUAACUGUAUAUAAUUGCAAUAUCUGCCUUAGACCAUUCAGACUUUUGUAAUGUGAUAUCAUAACUUGGCUGUCUUAUCGGCCACAGAAAUCCAUUCCUUACAGGUUUGGGGGCUAGGAGAUUCGAGACCAAUUGUGCCAGCAGAAUAGUUGGAGUGUUUAAGUACCUCUUCAGAAGCUCUAUAAACUCAGGCCUCAAGUUUCAAAAGAGUUUGGAGAACACAAGUCAACCUCGUGAGUGAGCUGGUUACAUCCACAACAUCCGUCCUAAAAAGAUACAGCCUCUGUCCUAGAAGGACCAGAGAAAAGAUGUGUGGUGGAGUAAUGGCCAUAGACAGACUCCUGGAUUCUGCCAGUCCAGAAGGAGGCAACAUGAAAGAAAACAUUUGAAACGGAGCCUGAGGACUGCUGACCGAACACAAGGAGAACAUGAAGACUGCUGAGGUCCUGCCUUCCUUCCACACCCUGCCACUGGGGUGAGAGAUGAGACUUGACACCCCCGCAAAGGCAAAUGUGAAGGGCCACUAGUGGACGGAGCUUACAUUCAAAUGACAAAUAAAUGGGUGGUUUCUA